GAGGUUAAACCUUAGGGCUGAAAGUCUCAGGGGAAGGCAGUGAAAGUCGCGGGGGGAAGGCAAAACUGACGGCACGUUUCCAUCGGAGAGGUUUAGGACGGUAUCUGCACGUAAAAGUCUGCAGAACUUCCACAGGAGGUACCAUAAUACUGACCGGCGCUCAAAAUCUCCCGGCAGAAUUACGAUAUGACGUUUCCUAUAAAGAAACGGCAGACAGAAGGUGAAAAAGCCCCGCUUGGUGCAUUUGUGAUGACAGCGAUAGCGGGGUGUUUGCACAACUGAGAACUGAAGGGUAAAAAUAAAGGAAGCAUGACUGAAGAGCGUGUUAUGACACCGACGGGUAUUUUUUUUGCUUCCCCGCUUGGUGCCACUCCAUGAAAUCAGAAGAUAACUAAAGGUUUCUUAGCACUGAAAUUCCCAAGGAGUGAUGUGUCACCAGCAGCAUCCCAACUCCAGCUUCAGCAUGGGACCAGGGUAACUCUCCAGAGGCAGGGGCAGAGGAGUGCAGCCAUAGUGCUUCCAGUCAUAUGCAAGCUAAAAGCAGCACAUGCACAACAUGAGCAUUCCUUUCACCGAUUGCAUCAGAGUUUGAAGAUCACGGGCUUGACCUAAGAAACGUUGCUGCGCACGAGGACUCUUCAGCUGACAGGCUGUCAGCUACAUUGCUUGCAGGUUGUCAGGCCUCCCGCGUUACAGUAUGUCUGUCCGGCCCCAGCAAGAAAGACCGUCACUUUUUCAGAGACAAAGAUAAGCUACAAAACUCAUUGUAAACCAAUUUCUUCUGC